CCUACGGGAGGCAGCAGUGAGGAAUAUUGGUCAAUGGACGAGAGUCUGAACCAGCCAAGUAGCGUGAAGGAUGACUGCCCUAUGGGUUGUAAACUUCUUUUAUAUGGGAAUAAAAUGUUCCACGUGUGGGAUUUUGUAUGUACCAUAUGAAUAAGGAUCGGCUAACUCCGUGCCAGCAGCCGCGGUAAUACGGAGGAUCCGAGCGUUAUCCGGAUUUAUUGGGUUUAAAGGGAGCGUAGGUGGAUUGUUAAGUCAGUUGUGAAAUGUUGCGGCUCAACCGUAAAAUUGCAGUUGAAACUGGGGAUCUAGAGUGUGCGAGAGGUAUGCGGAAUGCGUGGUGUAGCGGUGAAAUGCAUAGAUAUCACGAAGAACCCCGAUUGCGAAGGCAGCAUACCGGUGCACAACUGACGCUCAGGCACGAAAGCGUGGGUAUCGAACAGGAUUAGAUACCCCUGUAGUC
rnacentral:rRNA from 1 species